rnacentral:rRNA from 1 species
GAAGCGGCAACAGCUCAAAUUUGAAAUCUGACCCUUGGGGUCCGAGUUGUAAUUUGCAGAGGGUGUUUCGGGCACGGUGCCGGUUUAAGUCCUUUGGAACAGGGCGUCAUAGAGGGUGAGAACCCCGUAUGUGACCGGUCGCCAAACCCAUGUGAAACCCCUUCGACGAGUCGAGUUGUUUGGGAAUGCAGCUCAAAAUGGGUGGUAAAUUUCAUCUAAAGCUAAAUAUUGGCCAGAGACCGAUAGCGCACAAGUAGAGUGAUCGAAAGAUGAAAAGCACUUUGGAAAGAGAGUCAAACAGCACGUGAAAUUGUUGAAAGGGAAGCGCUUGCGACCAGACCUGUUCGCGGGUGAUCAGCGGUGCUUUUCGCGCCGUGCACUCAUCCGCGAUCAGGCCAGCAUCGGUUCAGGCGGCCGGAUAAAGACUCGGAGAAUGUAGCUCCCUCCGGGGAGUGUUAUAGCUCCUUGUGCAAUACGGCCAGCCGGGACCGAGGACCGCGCUUCGGCUAGGAUGCUGGCGUAAUGGUCGUAAGCGACCCGUCUUGAAACACGGACCAAGGAGUCUAACAUCUGUGCGAGUGUUUGGGCGUCAAACCCAUGCGCGCAAUGAAAGUGAACGUGAGGUGGGAACCCUUUCGGGGGCGCACCAUCGACCGAUCCAGAUGUCUUCGGAUGGAUUUGAGUAAGAGCACAGCUGUUGGGACCCGAAAGAUGGUGAACUAUGCCUGAAUAGGGUGAAGCCAGAGGAAACUCUGGUGGAGGCUCGCAGCGGUUCUGACGUGCAAAUCGAUCGUCAAAUUUGGGUAUAGGGGCGAAAGACUAAUCGA